AUGACAAAUAUGGUUCGAUGGCUCUUCUCUACUAACCACAAGGAUAUUGGGACUCUCUAUUUCAUCCUCGGUGCCAUUGCAGGAGUGAUGGGCACAUGCUUCUCCGUACUGAUUCGUAUGGAAUUAGCCCAACCCGACGAUCAAAUUCUUGGUGGGAAUCAUCAACUUUAUAAUGUUUUAAUAAUGGCUCACGCUUUUUUAAUGAUCUUUUUUAUGGUUAUGUCGGCGAUGAUAGGUGGAUUUGGUAAUUGGUUUGUUCCGAUUCUGAUAGGUGCACCUGACAUGGCAUUUCCACGAUUAAAUAAUAUAUCAUUCUGGUUUUUGCCACCAAGUCUCUUGCUCCUAUUAAGCUCAACCUUAGUAGAAGUGGGCAGCAGCACUGGGUGGACAGUCUAUCCGCCCUUAAGUGGUAUUACCAGCCGUUCUGGAGGAGCAGUUGAUUUAGCAAUUUUUAGUCUUCAUCUAUCAGGUAUUUCACCAAUUUUAGGAUCUAUCAAUUUUAUAACAACUAUCUUCAACAUGCGUGGACCUGGAAUGACUAUGCAUAGAUUACCACUUUUUGUGUGGUCCGUUCUAGUCACAACAUUCCUACUUUUAUUAUCACUUCCGGUACUGGCGAGGGCAAUUACAAUGUUAUUAACCGAUCAAAACUUUAAUACAACCUUUUUUGAUCCUGUAGGAGGGGGAGACCCAAUAUUAUACCAGCAUCUCUUUUGGUUCUUCGGUCAUCCAAAGGCAUGGUUUAUGCCAUGA
rnacentral:rRNA from 1 species